rnacentral:rRNA from 1 species
GUGGGGAAUAUUGGACAAUGGGCGAAAGCCUGAUCCAGCCAUGCCGCGUGAGUGAUGAAGGCCUUAGGGUUGUAAAGCUCUUUCAGUAGGGAAGAUAAUGACGGUACCUACAGAAGAAGCCCCGGCUAACUUCGUGCCAGCAGCCGCGGUAAUACGAAGGGGGCUAGCGUUGUUCGGAUUUACUGGGCGUAAAGCGCACGUAGGCGGAUUGGUCAGUUAGAGGUGAAAUCCUGGAGCUCAACUCCAGAACUGCCUUUAAUACUGCCAGUCUAGAGUCCAGAAGAGGUGAGUGGAACUCCUAGUGUAGAGGUGGAAUUCGUAGAUAUUAGGAAGAACACCAGUGGCGAAGGCGGCUCACUGGUCUGGUACUGACGCUGAGGUGCGAAAGCGUGGGGAGCAAACAGGAUUAGAAACCCGGGUAGUCC